rnacentral:rRNA from 1 species
GAUGAACGCUGGCGGCGUGCCUAAUACAUGCAAGUCGAGCGAACAGUCGAGGAGCUUGCUUCUCUGACGUUAGCGGCGGACGGGUGAGGAACACGGGGAUAACCUACCUGUAAGGCUGGGAUACCUGCGAGAACCCGCAGCUAAUACCAGGUACUAUAUUGAACCGCGUGGUGCAAUGGUAAAAGACGGUUUUGCUGUCACUUAUAGAUUGAUCCCCGCUGCAUUAGCUAGUUGGUAAGGUAACGGCUUAUCAAGGCGGGGGUGCGGAGCCGCCCUGAGAGGGUGAUCGGGCCGACCGGAGAGGAGAGACGGUCCAGACGCCUACGGGAGGCAGCAGUAGCGAAUCCGCCGGAAUGGGGGAAAGAUUGACGGAGCAACGCCGCGUGAGUGAUGAAGGUAUUCUGUGCGUAAGACUCUGUUAUUAGGGAAGAACAAAUGUGUAAGUAGCUAUGCACGUCUUGACGGUACCUGAUCAGAAAGCCACGGCUAACUACGUG